rnacentral:rRNA from 1 species
AGAGUUUGAUCCUGGCUCAGGAUGAACGCUGGCGGCGUGCCUAAUACAUGCAAGUAGAACGCUGAAGGAGGAGCUUGCUCUUCUGGAAGAGUUGCGAACGGGUGAGUAACGCGUAGGUAACCUGCCUCUUAGCGGGGGAUAACUAUUGGAAACGAUAGCUAAUACCGCAUAAAAGUCGACAUUGCAUGAUGUUGACUUGAAAGGUGCAAAUGCAUCACUAAGAGAUGGACCUGCGUUGUAUUAGCUAGUUGGUGAGGUAACGGCUCACCAAGGCGACGAUACAUAGCCGACCUGAGAGGGUGAUCGGCCACACUGGGACUGAGACACGGCCCAGACUCCUACGGGAGGCAGCAGUAGGGAAUCUUCGGCAAUGGGGGCAACCCUGACCGAGCAACGCCGCGUGAGUGAAGAAGGUUUUCGGAUCGUAAAGCUCUGUUGUAAGAGAAGAACGAGUGUGAGAGUGGAAAGUUCACGCUGUGACGGUAUCUUACCAGAAAGGGACGGCUAACUACGUGCCAGCAGCCGCGGUAAUACGUAGGUCCCGAGCGUUAUCCGGAUUUAUUGGGCGUAAAGCGAGCGCAGGCGGUUAGAUAAGUCUGAAGUUAAAGGCUGUGGCUUAACCAUAGUACGCUUUGGAAACUGUUUAACUUGAGUGCAGAAGGGGAGAGUGGAAUUCCAUGUGUAGCGGUGAAAUGCGUAGAUAUAUGGAGGAACACCGGUGGCGAAAGCGGCUCUCUGGUCUGUAACUGACGCUGAGGCUCGAAAGCGUGGGGAGCAAACAGGAUUAGAUACCCUGGUAGUCCACGCCGUAACGAUGAGUGCUAGGUGUUGGGUCCUUUCCGGGACUCAGUGCCGCAGCUAACGCAUUAAGCACUCCGCCUGGGGAGUACGACCGCAAGGUUGAAACUCAAAGGAAUUGACGGGGCCCGCACAGCGGUGGAGCAUGUGGUUAAUUCUAGCACGCGAGAACCUUACUAGGUCUUGGCAUCCCUCUGACCGCUCUAGAAGAAUAAAAAUUUUUCCUUUCCUGGACCAAAAGAUGAACAGGUGGGUGGCAAUGGGAUG